GGUGGUUCUUGGGUGAUGCACCCCGAAAUCAGGCUCCCUUCUCCCUUCUCUCUGGUUCUGGGUACAUCACCUGAGAACCACA
rfam:Myotis brandtii contig168313, whole genome shotgun sequence.